AUUAAUGUCGAAAAGAUUUGGCAAAAUCAACUUCCAGCCAUGUUUCUUUGCUUUCAAAGUUUAACUAAAUUGAUCGUGGGGAAGUGUCACAAAUUAAAAUGUAUAUUUUCGACUUCUAUGCUCAGAAGCUUUGAACAACUCCGACAGCUGAAUAUAUACAACUGUAUGGGUUUGCUUGAGAUUAUUUCCGAAGGAGCAGAUCAAGUGCCACCUUGUUUUAUCUUUCCGCGGCUGACAUUUCUAAGACUACGUAAACUACCAGAACUUAGAUGUUUAUAUCCUGGAAUGCAUACUUCGGAAUGGCCGGCACUAAAAAUGUUGAAGGUCUUUGGUUGUGACAAAAUAAAGUUAUUCGGUUCCGAAUUAUCUAGCUUCCAUGGAAACAUUGAUAAGAAUCAGCUUCAUAUCCCAGCGCAACAGCCCCUGUUGUUGAUCGAAAAGGUAUAUAUGCAACCAUUUAUUUGAUUUUUUAUCAGUUGAGUCUUACUGUUUCUUAUGUUUUACGUUUGAUUCUUUGUUGCAAAGAAACUCACAAACAAAAGAUUUUAGAAAUACCCACUGUACAUGUAUGUAUUGCUCAAAAUUGUUUGACAGAACAUCAAUAGAACUAAUUAGUUUUUAUAUGAGUUGAUGAUGUUCAGAUCUUCCCCAGCUUGGAGAAACUCCUAUUAAGUGGAAAGGAUUUCAGGAUGAUUUUGCAGGGUGAUUACCCACAAAACCUAUUUGGCAGUCUUAAAUACAUUAAGGUUGCGGAUGAUGACUCAGCUUGUUUUCCACUUGGUUUACUUGAGAAAUUUCAAAAUCUGGAAAUCCUCUUUCUGAGUUGUACUUCAUACACAGAGAUAUUAUCAAAUGAAGGACACUCGGAGAAGCACGUGGGCAAGUUCUCACAAGUAAAACAUUUACAGCCGUACAAACUGAAUGAUCUGAAGCACCUAUGGAAACAAGACUCCAAACUGGACUCCAUUCUUGCAAAUCUUGAAAUUCUACGAGUAUAUUGUUGUCAAAAUCUGACUGUUCUAUUGCCAUCAUCAUCGGUAUCGUUUUGGAAUCUAACAGAUCUGCAAGUUUGGGGCUGCAAGAAAUUGAUGAAUUUGGUAACAUCCUCCACAGCAAAGAGUCUAGUGCGCCUCAUGACAAUGAAGGUGUGUGGGAGCAAAGCAAUGACACAAGUGGUGGUAAGUGAGGAAGAUGGAGCAGAAGAUGAAAUUGUUUUCAGCAAAUUGAAGACAUUGUCUCUGCUUGAUUUAGAUAGCCUCACAAGUUUCUACUCUGGCAAUUACACCUUCAAAUUCCCAUCUCUACAAGAUUUAGAAGUGAUUGGUUGUCCCAAGAUGAAGAUUUUCACCACAGGAGAAUUAUGCACACCGCCGAGAGUAAAUGUCUGGUAUGGAGAGGGAGAUGGUGAAUGUCGUUGGGCUAAUGACCUUAACGUUACGAUACAAGAGUUGCAUGCUGAAAAGGUACGGUUAACCCACCAACUUAACUCCCAAGGAAAAAUUUUACAAAUUUGCACUUUUUAACAAAAUUUAGAAAAUAGAUCAUGGACAACCAAGUUUGACUCAUUAGAAUAUUUAUUAUUGAGUAAGUGCAUGAUCGGGUUUGAAAAAGUAUGAGACACUUCUGUAUGUAGUUCUUGAAACUGUCCAAUUUAAAACAGACAUAUUCAAUUCUCAAAAAAUCAUGAAUCAUUAGUUUUAACUUCAUAAUAUAAAAGUCGUGUCAAAUUAAUGAAUGAGAAUUUUGUUUUCAGAUGUUGGAGGGGUCGUCAUCUAACUUGAGGAAGUACGAUUGGUGAUCAUGUUGGCUUUUUAAUUUAUUACUUGGAGUUGUGAAUUUGAAGAAUAAAGUCCCAGGUAAAUAAUUUAAUUUCCCUUAUUUGAUCUCAUAGCUUGUUUCAUCGGUUCACCUGAACUAUUUAGAUUGCGUCACUGGUUUAUUGUUAACUUUAAAAUGAAGUUUUAAUGUUUCAUUCGGGGCUUUAUGAGCAAAUUUUACAUCAUUGAAUGUCCUUUGGUCUGAACUUUUGAGCUUUUUGUUUGAUAGUCAAGGCUUUAUAGUAUGCUAUUUAUAAUUCCUUAAGAAUGUGCAAAAUUUUUUAUGAUAAAAUUGCUUGAAUAUGUCAUUGAAAGGAACUUCUAUGUUGCUCUUUAUGAUUACAGAGUUCUCAAUGUUAUCACUCUUCUUUUGCAGGAUGUGGAAUCAAAGAUACUUUUCUAUGAAAUUUGUGUUCCUUGUAUUAAAAGUUUACAUGCUGAAGGGCUUCCUGUGUUAUCUUUGCUGUUCUACUUGUGCUUUACUUCAUUGUGUCGCUACAGCUUUGUGAGUGUUAUGUUAACUAUUGUUUCCUUCAUUUGGGCAUUGUAAGUUUCGAAGGCGCUACAUUGCUUGACUAAAGAUGCUUAAAUUUAUCAUCUGUUUGUACCCCUUGUAUUAUAUACAAUAAAUUUUUGAUGUAUUUUGACAUUUAAUACGAGAUAUGUUUGAAUUUUCAUUGAAAGGUUUCAUAAUUGUUCAAAUUUAUCUUCAGUUUUAUUUUUGUUAUCUUGUUGGAACCAAAUUGACAACCAAGAUCAAUUUGGAACACCCAAGAUCCACUCUAAGAAACUUGAUCUUAACUAGGUCUGAUACUAGACUGAGUUUAAGAAGAAAUUUGCCUAGGUAAGUGGAAUCAAACACAACUCAAGGAACAAAAGCAGAAAAGAAAGAAAACAGAUCUCACACACAGCACCAAGAUUUAUAGUGGUUCGGCCAUUUUCUUGCCUAUAUCCACUGUGAAAAGAGAAGCAAGCUUUCACUGAUUUCAGAGAUUACAAGUCACAGAGAUGAAGAGUAUGUGUAACAGAAUCGAAACCCCUCAGUAACAGAUCAUAGAGCCUUUUACAUUUCAAUCAAAACCCUCUAAAAGGACCCCAAACAAUCAGCUCACGCUCCUGGGUUUCUCAGCUAAGCAAUCCCAGCUGCAUCUGCAUCCCGCGUGAAUUAACUGAAUUAACAGCUUCUGGAACUGCUCAGGGACACUUGUCAAAUGCUCGUAUAAUUUGCUACUUCAAAAACCGACAUGACAUCACUUCCUUCCCCAAGCAUCAGACACGUCAUACACAUUCCCGAAUCCAGAUUUGAGCUUCCCCUCUUCAGCAUAUCUCAAAUACAUGUUAGGCCUUGCAUGCAUAGACGCACGUAAUAUCCCAGAAGAGUUUUAUCAGAUGAUUUUACUAUCAUCGUUGUUGUUGCUGCUCCCGCCGCCGCCAUUAUUACUAUUAUUAUACUACUACUUGAAAAUUUCAAGUAUUUUAGAUGAGAAAUUUAUUAUGUUAGAGAUAUUCAUAAUAUACAUGAUGCUGAAAUCAGGGAAUUUGUUGUCUCAGUUUGUUUUAUUUUUGUUUGCCUCGAAUCAAAUUUUGAAAUUUAAGAACUAUGGUAAGAGAUGGAACAAGAGGAGUUAAAAAAUUUGCCAAAAUUGAUGUAGCAAUGAAACAAUUGUAUCCUAACAUGUUUAGCAUCAUUCUACUUUAUGAUCAUUGUUGUUCCGUUAUUUUAGUUCUUGCUCUGUUUGUUCUGUUUCUCUGUUUAUUUCACUGGGGGUUUGCUUCACAAAAUCUUACUUUCAAAAUUUAGAAGGCAAGGAAAGAGCGCUUCGAAAAUGCAAGAGGUAUCAAAUCAUGCAUUAAAAAACUUGUUGGCUGCUGGCUGGUCUAUUUCAUUGGCACCGAUCGAAUCAUUAUCCCUAAAAUAAUUAGGAGUCGGAGAUAUAAGUGUGAAAAUAACAGGAUCAUUUACAACAUGGAAAUCAGUCGCCAUUGGUAGGUGGCGCUGCAUAUGAUAAUAACAACUGAUUGAUACCAACAAAGUGUUGGCUCCACUGGUAAUGGAGUCCCCUUAAGUGGCUUGACUGGAUUUGCUCCCCAGUUCGAGUCGCAGGGAAGUCGCCUUUGUUGGGAGAAUCUGUGCCUCCCGGUUCGAGCGGAGACUUCUAGUCUGGGUUGUGGUACGGGCUUAAAGGUGCCUCCCACAGUUGGGGCCCUCCCCAGGAUACCUCGUGAUUAAUAUAAAAAAAAAAAAACAACUGAUUGAUGAAAUUAAUGCCAUCAAUCUGCCUGUUAAUGUUGUUGACGCGUGUCAAAUUUUCAUGCAUAUUAGAAUUUAUUAGUGAGGUUGCAUUAUGGUCCAUAUCGUCAAUAACUUUAGCAGUCAAAUUUUACGCCACUGGAGUCAAAUUUUCAUGCAUAAAGCUGUUGGCUGGUCUGUUUGGCUCUACAAUGAUUUAUCUUUUCGACUUAAAAUGAUUCCAAAAAGCCAUCAGCAAUCUCUAGUGCAACUCUUCAAAAAAAAAAAUUAAAAUAAAAAUAAAAGUCUCAAAAAGUAUCAUUAAUUUAAUUCUAUUGUUUCCGGGUAAUCAGAACGUGUUUGAUAAAUAUUUAUAAGUUACAGUUUGAAAAUUAAAUAGAUUUUAUUUAACAAAAAGAUAUUGUUGACGCGUGUCAAAUUUUCAUGCAUAUUAGAAUUUAUUAGUGAGGUUGCAUUAUGGUCCAUAUCGUCAAUAACUUUAGCAGUCAAAUUUUACGCCACCGGAGUCAAGUGAUUUUUAAGCAGUUUUAUUCAACUGGUUACCUGAGUUCGAAUCUUAAAGAGAUAAAUAGUUAAAAAUGAAUUUAGACUUUGCCUACUCCUUUAAUAAAAAAAGAAGGUCAUUUAGUCUUAACUUUUGAAAUUUUUAUUUGACAUUUCGGCUUUAUAGCAUGCGAUGUAUUUUCUUAAAUUUUAUAAUUCCUUGAGAAUGUGCAAACAUUUUAUGAUAAAAUUACUUAAAAAUGUCGUUGAAACGAACUGAACUUUUUAUGUUGAAAGAAAGCCUUAUUAUUUUUCUGUACUUCUAUGUAAUGCUUUAUGGUUACAAAAUUCUCAUUGUUAUCACUCUUCUUGUGCAAGAUCUGUAAUGAAAGAUACUUUUCUGUCAAAUUUGUGUUCCUGAUAUUAAAAGUUCACAUGCUGGGGGGCUUCCUAUUUCAUCUUUGUCAUUCUACUUGUGCUUUGCUUCAUUGUGUAGCUACAGCAUUAUAAGCGUUACCAUAACUUAUCUGCAGCAAUUUUAUAAUUUACUAUUAUUGUGGUUGUUGCUGCUAUCAUUGUUCUACUAGUUGGAAAAUUCGAAUUCUUUUAGACGUGACAUUUAUCAUAUUAGAUAUUCAAGGUAUACAUACAUGCAUAUAUAUAUAUAUAUAUAUACUGGGUAUCUGUUUAGAUAUGAUGCAGAGAAAUGACAGAAGUUGUAUUAAGUGACGAAGAUUGAGCAGCAAAACAAGAGAUAGUUUUCAGCAAAUUAAAGACGUUGGCUCUGUUUGAUUUAGUUAGACUCACAAGUUUCUGCUCUGGCAAUUGCACUUUCAAAUUCCCAUCCUUGCAAGAUUUAACUGUGAUUGACUGUCCCAAGAUGAAGAAUUUUACUAGAGGAGAAUUAUGGAUGCCAUCUGGUACGGAGAGAGAGAAGAUGAAAGCCGUUGGGCUAAUGACCUUAACACAACCAUACAACAACUACAUGCAGAAACGGUAUGAUUAAUUCACUAUUCUAUCUCCAAUGGAAAAGUUUUACAAAAUUUGCAAUUUUUUAACAAAACGUAGAAAACUGAUCAUUGACAAGUUAGUUUGAUUCAUUAGAAUAUUCGCUAUUACUUUUGUAUUUAAUUCAUCAAACUGUCCUAUUUAAUAUUGACAUUUUCACAAAAGUUAGAUAAUGUUUUUCAAUUCUCACAAAUUCGUUAAUAAUUAGUUUUAAUUUCAUAAUAUGAAAAUCUUGUCAAAGAAAUUGUGUUAUUAAACUUAUUAAAUCUCUCGCUAGUGGCUUCCUUCCUAAUCUCCAUGUGCUUUAGUAUUUAUUUCCAAGUGCCUAAUUUUACAACUUUUAAUUUAGAUUAAUGAAUGACAAUUCUUAUUUUUUCAGCUGUUGGAGGGGCUUUCAUCUUAGUCGACUUUAUACAAGUAAUCUGAUCAAAUACAUUUUAGUACUUGGAUAAGAUGUGGAUUUGAAGACUAAAGAUCGCAGGUAACUAAUUUUAUUACUUAUGUACUUUUCUCAUGGUUUUGUUUCAUCGUUUCAUCUAAACUCUUUGGAAUGCAUUAAUUUUGUUUAUUGUUAAUUUGGAACGAAGUUUUAACGUAUCAUUCAGGGAUUUUGUUUGCAUCAUUGAGGGUUGUUUGGCCUUAACUUCUGAGGUUUUUGACAUUCAGCUUUAUAUUGUGCUAUUUUUUGUAAUUUUAUAACUUCUUGAAAGCAUGCAUAUAUUUUUUUUCUUAUCAUGAUGCCUCGAAAAUGUCAUUAGAAGGGACAGCAGUUUUCUUUUUCUUAUUUAUUUUCAAGUAUCUACGUUUGCGAAUUUUAGUUCAACUUGUUGAAUGGGAAUUUUGUUUUCAGCUACGUACAAGACGAUGCCGCUGCUGCUGCCAUUGUUACUGUCAUAGUUACUAUUACUCGAAAAUUUCAAGUAAUUUAGUUGUGAAAUUCAUUAUGUUAGAGAUAUUCAAAAUAUAUAUGAUGCUGAAAGAAAAGAGUGGACUUGUUGUCUCAGUUUGUCUCAUUUUGUUUUCUCCAACUCUAAUUUUCAAAUUUUAGAAAUAUGGUAAGAGAAGGAACAAAAUGAGUAAAAAAAUUGUCAAAAUAGUUGUAGCUAUGAACAAUUAUAUCCAAACACAUUUAGCAUCAAUCUACUUUGCCAAAUUUUUUAGUCAUCGUCUUUGCUCGGUUGUUUUAGUUUUUGCCCUGUUUGUUCUCUUUAUUUUGAUUGAGUUUGCUUUACAAAGUCUAUCUUUCAAAACUUAGAAGGCGAGGAAAGAGCGGGUAGGAAAUGCAAAAGGUAUCAAAUCAUGCAUAUGGUCAAAUGCUCCUGUAUAUGAACACAUAAAGAACAAUUGAAAUAUCAUUCACCGGAUAACACAAACAAAUAAAAAAAAAAAAAAAAAGAAGAAAGAGAGAAAAUCUAAUCGUCUCAUUAUCCCGAACACAAAUAAUUAAACCAUCAAAUGUUUGCAAUGAGCACAAUCAGAUCAUCUCUUUGGAAUAAUUACAUGUUGGCUUGGCCUAUUUUUUGGCCGGUAAAAAGGUUUUUGGCUGGAGCAUUUGGCCUUAACUUUUUUUUUUUUUUGAGUCUAUAUCAAUUGAUGCCACUAUGUCAAUAAUAAUUGGUAGGAAAUAAAUUAAUAUGUAACUAUAUCUUCUUAAUUAAUUAUUUGUUUUUUUAUCCAUUUACAUUGGAAAAAAGGGGUGCAGGGUCAGGAAGCUUCUUAGACGUGGCACGUUCAAAAGCUUUUUUUUUUUUUUGUCUGAACCACAUGGUCCUGAGUAGGCCCUAACUGUGGGAGAUACCUUUAAGCUCAUACCACAAUCCAAACUAAUCUCCACUCGCACCAGGUCGGCCCGUAAGGGAUAAAGUACUGGCUAAAGUGGUGACUCCAUAUAAGAGCGGGGCUUGAACCUCUGACCUCUCUUAAGAAGUGAGAGUGCCGAACCACUCUGUUCAAAAGCUUUUCUUUUUUAAAAGCUGCGUCAAGCAUGACACGUCAACAUCAUUUACAAGUGGGAACAACUCUUUUUCAUAAAAGAAAAGCCUUUUUUGUUUUAAAAUAAAGUUUUUUUGGAUGAUUCACUAUUACUAAUUGCCCAAGUCAUUCUAUUGCGAAUACAUGCAAAUUAAUAAAGAGACUUGUGGGGUUGCUGGAUAGAAAUUGUUGAAUACAUACAAAUUAUUGAACAGAAAUCCAAUAAUUGAACACCGGCCAAUUCUUGUCCAAUCAAAUUAAAACUCAAUUAAUAUAUUCCACUAAAUUUUUCGUACAACAUCCUAUUCAGAUGAAUAAAAUGUAAAAAAUAAAAUAUAUAAUUCAAAAAAUUAUAAAGGAUGCAAUUUAGCAGGUCAUACAAUAUACCAAAAAAAGUCUUGGGGGUGCAGUGGGAAUAUUUCUUGACAGAAAGAGUCUUAAAAAUUUUUUCGCCAGAAAACAUUUUCUCUCUCUGAUCUCUGUAUUCUUCAGAUCCUCCUCCUUGCUUGAACGUCUGUAACUUUGUCAUCCAUGAUUUGCAUUCAAUUCUUGACGAAAAAACCUUUUUCCGGAUUUUCAUCUUUUGAUCUCAAACAUGCUUUGCUUCUGUUGAUUGUGGUCGCUUCUAGUGCUAGUUCUCUUCUUAUAUAGCUUUGUUCCCUUUUGCCAUCAGCUCUUUGCAUUUCCUUGGAUGAAGAAACCUUUUUCUUGUUUCAAUUUUCUGAUCUCAAAAGCACUUUGAUUCUAGUCUGCCACACUGAUUUUGUCCUUGUUUUGUACAAACAUAAUUUCGCCAUUAUCUGUUUGAUUAUCAAUUGACCCGUCGUUGACUCUAUUCUAUUUCUAUGUGAAAAAUACGAAAAAAAAAAAAAAGAGAUUGAAGAUGGUGGAAAGCAUUGUUACUGUUGUUUUAGAAGUUGUGAAAUGCUUGGCUCCUCCGACACAACGCCAACUUGAUUACUUGCGAAACUACAAUGAAAACAUUCAGAAACUCGAGGCAGAAACCGAGAGCCUGAAGGUUGAAAUUAGGAGCAUUGAGCGCAGAGUUUUUGGGGCCGAAAAACAAGGAGAAAAGAGUGAAGAGAAAGUCGAGAAGUGGUUGGUUAGCGCCAACAAGAUCAUUGAUGAGGUGAAUGCCAAAUUCAUGGGAGAUGAAGAGACUGCAAAUAAGCGAUGUCUCAAGGGGCUGUGUCCUAAUUUGAAGGCUCGCUAUCAGCUUAGCAAGAAAGCAGAGACACAGGUGAAGGCCCUUGUUGAGUGCCGAGAAGAAGCCGGUCGACUUGAUAGAAUUUCCUACCUUACCUAUCCGGACAAGAUAUGGCUCAAGUCCCACAAAGGUUACGAGGCCUUUGGAUCAAGGCUUUCUACUUUGAAGUGUAUACAAAACGCUUUGACAGAUGUUAAUGUCAGCAUCGUUGGAGUGUACGGCAUGGGCGGCGUUGGAAAGACGACUCUAGCGAAGGAGAUCGUUAGGCAAGCCUUGGCAGACAAGCUCUUUGAUCAAAUAGCCUUUUCAGAGGUUUCCGAAACUGCAGACAUAAAAAAGAUUCAGCGGGAUAUUGCUGAGGACUUGGGUCUCGCAUGGCAUGAGGAAACUGAAUCUAGAACUGCGAGUAGACUGUAUGAACAGUUGAAGAAUGAGAAGAAGAUUCUUGUGGUUCUAGAUAACAUAUGGAAGCAUCUUGAUUUGGAGACUGUUGGAAUUCCUUUUGGUGAUGAUUAUAGAGGUUGUAAACUCUUGCUGAUAGCAAGAGAUCGUAAUGUUUUGUUGGAUAUGGAUUCUAAACAUAACUUCUUUAUUGACAACUUAAAUGAAGAAGAAGCUUGGAGAUUGUUUAAGACGAUGGCGGGUGAUUAUGUUGAAAAUCGUCAGCUGAAAUCUACAGCAACAGAUGUAGCCAAGGGAUGUGGAGGCUUGCCUAUUGCCUUAGCUACAACAGCAAGGGCAAUGAGAGACAAGACUGUGCAUGAAUGGAAGAAUGCCUUGCGAGAACUUCAGACGCCUUCAGUGAUGAACUUCGAAGGACUGCCGGCAGAUACUUAUGCAAGAAUCGAGCUGAGUUUCAAGUAUUUAAAAGGUGAGCAGCUCAAGAAAAUUUUUCUGCUUUGUAGUCUAAUGGGUAAUCCUAUUUUUACUUCAGACCUGUUUAAAUACUCCAUGGGUUUGGGUAUACUCCAAGGAGUCAAGAAGAUGGAAGAUGCACGAAACCAAUUAUAUGCAUUGGCCUAUAAACUUAAAGACGCUUGUUUGUUGCUUGAGGGAGGUAGCAGCGAACAAUUUUCAAUGCAUGACGUCGUUCGCGAUGUUGGCAUAUCAAUUGCUUACCGGGACCAACAUGUAUUUUUGGCAAAAAAUGAGGAUGUGUUGGAGCUGCCGGACAAGGAAGCACUUGUAAAUUGCUAUGCGAUUUCUAUAAGUGGUUGCCGUAUUCAGGAGCUUCCUCAAGGAUUGGAAUGCUUGCAACUCGAACUUUUAUAUAUAUCUCCCAAAGACUCUUACCUUCAAAUCAAUAUUCCUGAGAACAUUUUUGCAGGGAUGCGGAAGCUUAGAGUUGUAGAUUUUACUGGGAUGCAAUUAUGUUGCUUGCCAUCUUCAAUUGAUCUCUUAGUAAAUCUUCAAACACUAUGUUUGGAUCAAUGCAUGUUGAGUGACAUAGCAAUUAUUGGAAGGUUGAAGAAUCUGGAAAUCCUUAGCUUUUUAAAUUCAGAUAUUGUGCAGUUGCCUGAAGAACUAGGUGAAUUGACUAAGCUAAGGUUGUUAGAUUUAUCCAAUUGUUUCCAGCUAAAAGCUAUUGCACCCAAUGUCCUAUCAAGCUUAACUCGAUUGGAAGAACUCUACAUGAAAAAUUGCGUUAUCGAAUGGGAUGUUCAAAGACCCAAUGGUGGAAGAAGUACUGCCAGCCUUGGUGAGUUGUUGCAAUUGCCUCGACUGACCACUCUAGAAAUAGAUGUCAAAAAUGAUAGUAUUUUACCAGAAGGCUUUUUUGCAAAAAAAUUAGAAAGGUUCAAAAUAUCAAUAGGAGAUGAGUCAUUCAAGCCUCCGGUGCGUGCGGAUGAAUGGUUCGGUAGUCGGCCGGUUUUGAUCAGUGAUCCUUCGAGUCUAAGAACCAUAAAGCUGAAGCUUAGCUCAAAGCCUAUUUGCUCGAAGAAAAUGCAGGGCAUCCAGAAUGUUGAAUACUUGUGUUUGGACAAGCUGCAAGGUGUCAAGAAUGUUCUUUUAGAUAUGGACAUUGAGGGAUUUCUACAGUUGAAGCAUCUCCAUGUUCAAAAUAAUCCUGACUUCGUGUGCGUUGUUGACUCAACGGAGGGGGUACGUCGUGAUGUGUUUCCUCUUUUGGAGUCACUUACUCUUUACAAUUUGAUUAACAUGGAGAGGGUAUGUAUUGAUCGACUCAAAGUAGAGUCUUUCUGUGAACUUAAAACCAUACAGGUGGGAAAAUGUGAUGAGUUGAGUAAUAUCUUCUUGCUGUCUUCUAUAAGCUGCCUUCCCACACUUGAGAGGAUUGCAGUUUUUGAUUGCGAUAAGAUUGAAGAGGUCUUUGCAAUUGGUGGAGAACCAGAUGUCGACAACAAUAAUGCAGUGGAGAAGAUAGAGUUUGCAGCAGUAAAAUUUUUACAUCUGCAAAAUCUUCCGAAGCUUGCAAGUUUUUGCUCUGAAGUAAAGAGACCAAAUACACAAGGGUCGCAAGAGGAAUUGACAGCUACUACUUGCUCGACCGAAAUCAGUUUGUUGGAGGAGGACAAGCUUGAUACUUCGACACCGCUUUUCAACGAGAAGGUAAGCUGUUAUAAUGAAACCAAAGCAUUCGUUUUUCUUUCUCAACUUAUUCUAUCGUGCAUUUUCGUUUGAUGACAACUAUAGAAAAUGAAUUAUAAGGGAAAAAGAAAAUGAGAAUUGGAAAUUAGAAUCUCACACACUCACUCACUAAGCUCGCUUUACAUAUUAAUGAUGUGAAUUAAAUUGCAUAUUAAGUGUAUGUUUAGUAUGGUAAUAAUUCUCAAAAAAUCAUUUUUAGCACGGAUUUCUAAAAACUAUAUUUGAAAAAAGUUUAACACAAUGUUUUGUAAAUGGGUGAGCUAUUUGCACCUUAAAAAUUACUCUAAACACUCUAAUUGAAAUAAAAAUUUAUAACAAAAAUAUCUAUCAUAUGAAUUAUAUAAAGGACAAUUUAUUAUAAGUCAAUAUUACAUAAUUACUAUGAACGCCCCAUAUAACACACUCAUUAUUUAAUAUAUAUAAUUUUCAUGUUUUAAACCUUAAAACUUUUUUAUUUACAUCUUCAUCAAUACUUAGAUGAAUAAUGAUAAAAUCAAUAUUUUUCUUUUAUUUUUCCAUAAAUAAUCAAUAUCAAACGCGCACUGAAGCUGUCACUUGGAAGAUGAUUUGAUCUAACAAGAAAUUAAUGUUUAGGUUGUGUUCCCCAACUUGGAAGAUUUGGAGUUGAUUGGAAUUAAUGUCGAAAAGAUUUGGCACAAUCAACUUCCAGCCAUGUUUCCUCGCUUUCAAAGUUUAACAAAAUUAAUCGUGGGGAAGUGUCACAAAUUAAAAUGUAUAUUUUCGGCUUCUAUGCUCAGAAGCUUUGAGCACCUCCGACACCUGGAUAUAUGCAACUGUAUGGGUUUGCUUGAGAUUAUUUCCGAAGGAGCAGAUCAAGUGCCACCUUGUUUUAUCUUUCCGCGGCUGACAUUUCUAAGACUAGGUGAACUACCAGAACUUAGAUGUUUAUAUCCUGGAAUGCAUACUUCGGAAUGGCCGGCACUAAACUCGUUGAUGGUCUUUGGUUGUGACAAAAUAAAGUUAUUUGCUUCUGAGUUAUCUAGCUUCCAUGGAAACAUUGAUGAGAAUCAACUUCCUAUCCCAGCACAACAGCCUCUGUUCUUGAUCGAAAAGGUACAUAUGAAACCAUUUAUUUGAUCUUUUAUCGGUUGCAUCUUACUGUUUCUUAUGUUUUAUGUUUGGUUCUUCGAUGCAAAGAAACUCACAAACAAUAGAUUUUAGAAAUACCCGCUGUACAUGUAUGUGUUACUCAAAAUUGUUUGACAGAACAUCAAUUGAACUAAUUAGUUUUUAUGUGAGUUGAUGAUGUUCAGAUCCUCCCCAACUUGGAGAAUCUGCUAUUAAGUGGAAAGGAUUUCAGGAUGAUUUUGCAGGAAGAUUACCCACAACACCUCUUUGGCAGUCUUAAAUACAUUGAGGUUGUGGAAGAUGACUCAGCUUGUUUUCCGCUUGGUUUACUUGAGAAGUUUCGCAAUCUGGAAAUCCUCUAUCUGAGUGGUACUUCAUACACAGAGAUAUUAUCAAAUGAAGGACACUCGGAGAAGCACGUGGGCAAGUUCUCACAAGUAAAACAUUUACAGCCGUACAAACUGACUGAUCUGAAGCAGCUGUGGAAACAAGGCUCCAAACUAGACUUCAUUUUCACAAAUCUUGAAAUUCUACGAGUAUAUUGUUGUCAAAAUCUGAUUGUUCUAUUGCCAUCGUCAUCGUUAUCUUUCCGAAAUCUGACGGAUCUGCAAGUUUGGGGUUGCAAGGAAUUGAUGAAGUUGGUAACAUCCUCCACAGCAAAGAGUCUAGUGCGACUCAGGAUAAUGAAGGUAUGUGGAAGCAGAGCAAUGACACAAGUGGUAACAAGUGAGAAAGAUGGAGCAGAAGAUGAAAUUGUUUUCAGCAAUUUGAAGGCGUUGACUCUGCUUGAUUUAGAUAGUCUCACAAGUUUCUGCUCUGGCAAUCACACCUUCAAAUUCCCAUCUUUACGAGAUUUAGAAGUGAUUGGUUGUCCCAAGAUGAAGAUUUUCACCACAGGAGAAUUAUGUACACCGCCGAGAGUAAACGUGUGGUAUGGAGAGGGAGAUGGUGAAUGUCGUUGGGCUAAUGACCUUAACGUUACGAUACAAGAGUUACAUGCUGAAAAGGUACGGUUAACCCACCAACUUAACCCCCAAGGAAUUUUUUUUCAAAAUUUGCAGUUUUUUGCAAAAUUCAGAAAAUAGAUCAUCGACAACUAGAAUAUUUGUUAUUGAUUAAGCGCAUGAUCAGGUUUUAAAAAGUAUGAGACACUUUUGUACUUAAUUCUUGAAAUUGUCCAAUUUAAAACGGACAUUUUGCCAAAAGUUUGGGAAUCUUUUUCAAUUAUCAAAAAUUCAUGAAUCAUUAGUUUUAACUUCAUAAUAUAAAAGUCUUGUCAAAUUAAUGAAUGAGAAUUUUGUUUUCAGAUGUUGGAGGGGUCGUCUUCUAAUUUGAGGAAGUACGAUACAUUGUGAUUGCAUUGGCUUUUUAAUUUAUUACUUCGAGUUGUGAAAUAGAAGAAUAAAGUCCCAGGUAAUAAUUUCAUUUUAUUUAUUUGUUCUCGUGGCUUGUUUCAUCGGUUCACCUGAACUAUUUAGAUUGCGUCACUGGUUUAUUGUUAACUUUGAAAUGAAGUUUUAAUGUUUCGUUCAGGGCUUUAUGAGCAAAUUUUUCAUCAUUGGAUGUCUUUUGGUCUGAACUUUUGAGAUUUUGUUUGAUAGUCAAGGCUUUAUAGUAUGCUAUUUAUAAUUCCUUAAGAUUGUGCAAAUUUUUUUAUGAUAAAAUUGCUUGACAAUGUCAUUGAAAGGAACAGCACUUUUGUGUUGAAAGCCUUCAGAUUACAGAAAAAUAAUAAUCUUUUCUGCACUUCUAUGUUGCUCUUUUUGAUUACCGAGGUCUCAACUUUAUCACUCUUCUUUUGCAGGAUGUGGAAUCAAAGAUAUUUUUCUAUGACAUUUGUGUUCCUUGUAUUAAAAGUUUACAUGCUGAGGGGCUUCCUGUGUUAUCUUUGCUGUUCUACUUCAUUGUAUCGCUACAGCUUUGUGAGUGUUACGAUAACUAUUGUUUCCUUCAUUUGAGCAUUGUAAGUUUCGAAGGCGCUACAUUGCUUGACUAAAGAUAUUUAAAUUUACCAUUUGUUUGCACCCCUUGUAUUAUAUACAAUAAAUUUUUGAUGUAUUUUGAUAUUUAAUACGAGAUAUGUUUGAAUUUUCAUUGAAAGGUUUCAUAAUUGUUCUGAUUUAUCUUCAGUUUUAUUUUUGUUAUCUCAAACACACGUCAGCCCUUGCAUGAAUAAACGCACAUAAUAUCCCAGAAGAGUUUUAUCAGACGUGCAGGCAAAUGAAAUUUUAUCAGCAAUCUUGUGAUUUUACCAUUAUUGUUGUUGUUGCUGCCUAUUAUUAUUACUACUAAUUGAAAAGUAUUUUAGAUGAUAAGUUUAUUAUGUUAGAGAUAUUCAUAAUGUACAUGAUGCUGAAAUCAGGGGAUUUGUUGUCUCGAUUUGUUUUAUUUUUGUUUGCCUCGAAUCAAAUUUUCAAAUUUAAGAAAUAUGGUAAGAGAAGGAACAACAGGAGUAUCUCUGGUCGGCCAUAACUGCACCUCAGAGAGUGCUCCGGCAUCGGGAAUCUGCUCAUAGCUUGUUAGGCCGAGGAGAUUCUUCCUCGGCCAGGUAAUGAGGGCAUGCGCGGCUAGUGCUCUUUUAAUUACCCCAAACAUAUAUGAUGCUGAAAACAGAGGAUUUGUUGUCUCAGUUUGUUUGCCUCGAAUUUUCAAAUUUAAGAAAAAUGUUAAAGUUAAGGAACAAAAGGAGUUUAAAAUUUGCAAAAAUUAAUGUAGCUAUGAAACAACUUCAUCGUAACAUAUUUAGCAUCAAUCUACUUUGCCAAUUGUUUAUUGUCAUCAUUGUUGUUCUGUUAUUUUAGUUCUUGCCCUGUUUGUUCUGUUCCUCUGUUUAUUUCAUUGGGCUUGCUACUUUGCUUCACAAAAUCUAAUUUUCAAAAUUUAGGGAGGCAUGGAAAGAGUGCUUAGAAAAUGCAAGAGGUAUCAAAUCAUGCAUUAGAAAACUUGUUGGCUACUAGCUGGUCUAUUUCAUUGCCACCGAUCGGAUCCUUGUCCAAAAAGCCAUCAAUGUGCCUGUUAAUGAUAUAGGAGUCGGAGAUAUAAGCUUGAAAAUAACAGGAUCAUUUACAACAUGGAAAUCAGUCACCAUUGGUAGGUGGCGCUGCAUAUGAUAUUAAGAACUGAUUGACGAAAUUAAUGCUAUCAAUCUGCCUGCUAAUGUUGUGCUUAAUUUUCAUGCAUAAAGUUGUUGGCUGGUCUGUUUGGCCUGCAAUGAUUUGCCUUUUCGACUAAAUGAUUCCAAAAAGCCAUCAGCAAUCACCAGUGCAAAAGAAAACAAAAUUAAAUUCUAUUGUUAAUUUAAUUCUAUUGUUUCCGUGUAAUCACAAAGUAUUCGAUAAAUAUUUAAAAAUUACAGUUUGAAAAUUAAGGUAGUUUUAUAUUUGAUGAAAUAUUAAAUUUUAAAAGUUAUCAUAAUCAAUUUAUUCUUAUCAUCAAAUAAUCUUAAUCAAAGACAAAACUUUGUUGCUCGGUGUAACUCACUCCCAUUUUAUCUAUUUCUAAUUGAAUUAUAUUGUAAUCUAUAUUUCUUGUUGAAAAUUGAUAAAUAAUAUAGGUUUCAAAAUUUAGACAUAUAAGUGCUACUAAUCAUUAUUGUUUCUCUAAAACUAUCGGCGAAGGUGGAAUAAUUAUUCUUUUUGAAAUAAAACUAUGGUGUGUGUCUAUUAAAAAAAAAUUAAAAUGAACAUUUUAUUAUUUAGUCAUAUGUCAAUAUUAUUAGUAAAUUUAAAUUAAUAUCUUAUUUAUUGCAUCUUCAAAUUAUUUUCCAUAGAUUAAAUAGAUUUUAUUUAACAAAAAAAUAUUGUUGACGCGUGUCAAAUUUUCAUGCAUUUUAGAAUUUAUUAAUGAGGUUGCAUUAUUGUCCAUAUCGUCAAUAAUUUUAGCAAACAGCAGGGAUAGCAAAGUUUGUAUUCACGCCAAGUUUUAACCCAAUCACUAUUUUGCAAAUUUUAGAAAAACAUAUUUCUGGUAAAUUUUGACGGACCAAAUUCAGCUCCAAAACUGGAAACAAUAAAUAUAUAAUAAUAAAUAAUAGCGCGAGUUGCAUCGGAGUUUUUUUACAGUAGAAGCAUUUACUCAUCACCAAAGGUAUUAAUUAUCAAAACACACUGCCCCUCCACCCCCAUUUGAUCUGUCAUCUUGUGAUUGGUUGGACAUGUGUUCUUGCCAACCAGCUGUACCCUUCUAAUUAUGUAAUGACCUGCCCAAUCAAGUUCUCGUAUUCUUUCAAUUUAUGAUAAGAUUCUCGUAUGGGAACAUAUCUGCAAACGUAAUAAUUACUAGCUCUGUAAGUUAGCGGGACCCCCAUUUUUUAAUUUGAAUGGUCAGAUCCAUGAUUACACUUACACACCUGCAGUAUAAUGUCAACAACCAGCUGUAAAUUUCCAUGGACACAAAUACCCCCAACUAGUGCUUAUUAAUUACUUAAUUAUACAUAUAUAACUUAAUCACAUGUAUAAGAAUUUCGGCCCCUCAUUACAUCAGCAAAUUAUCACGUACCACAAUUCUGUAAUUCUCUAUAAAUUAUAUUGGAUUUUUGAAUUAUCAUUCAUAUUCUUUUAUUAAUUAUAUUAAAAUUAUUAUUAAAAAUCGUAUUUAUCAAAUAUUAUUAAUUCUUAUUUUACAGGUUGGCCUUUCAUUUCAAACAAUAACUGCACACUAGCAAACGGAGCUUAAAGCUUUUGAUGAUUAGAAUUUUUUUUCUUCCAUUCGUGGCAUGCAAGCUAUUGAUACGGCAUUUAAUAAAAUAAUUUGCGUUCAAUCAAAAGAAGGACAUUAGCUAUUUUCUUUUAAAUUAGAGUUAUAAAUUGAAAUUGAAAAAUGUGAUUCACAUUUAAACAUUUGAUUGUCUUCAGCUUAUUGCAUUAGCACUUCUUUCAACUGCCAAGGGGAUCUCAAGGUUUUGUCAUUUUGGUUGACUGAGAAAGAGAUCGUAAUGCUUUGUUGGAUAUGGAUUCUAAACAUAACUUCUUUAUUGACAAUUUAGAUCAAGAAGAAGCUUGGAGAUUGUUCAAGAAAAUGGCGGGUGAUUAUGUUGAAAAUCGUAAGUUCAAAUCUACAUCAACAGUUGUAGCCAAGGGAUGUGGAGGUAUGCCCAUCGCCUUAACUACAAUAGCAAGGGCAACGAGAGACAAGACUGUGCAUGAAUGGAAGCAUGCCUUGCGAGAACUUCAAACGCCUUCGGUGGUGAACUUCAACGGACUGCCAGCGGACGCUUAUUCAAGAAUUGAGCAGAGCUUCGAGUACUUAAAAGAUGAGCAACUCAAGAAAAAUUUUCUGCUCUGUAGUCUAAUGGGUAAUCCUAUUUUCACAUCAGACCUGUUUAAAUACUCCACAGGUUUGGGUAUAUUUCAAGGAGUCAAGAAGAUGGAAGAUGCAGGAAACCAAUUAUAUGCAUUGGCCUAUGAACUUAAAGACUGUUGUUUGUUGCUUGAGAGUGGUAGCACUGAACAAUUUUCAAUGCACGACGUCGUUCGCGAUGUUGGCAUAUCAAUUGCAUGGCGAGGCCAGCAUAUAUUUUUGGUGAAGAAUGAGGAAGUGUGGGAGCUGGCAGACAAGGAAGCACUAGAAAAUUGCUAUGCGAUCUCUAUAAGAGAUUGUCGUAUUCACAAGCAUCUUGAAGGAUUGGAAUGCCCGCAACUUGGAUUUUAUACAUAUCUCCCAAAGUUUCUUACCUUCAAAUCAAUAUUCCAGAGAACAUUUUUGCAGGGAUGAGAAAGCUUAAAGUUGUAGAUUUUACUGGGAUGCAAUUAUUUUGCUUGCCAUCUUCAAUUGAUCUCUUAAAAAUUCUUCAAACACUAUGUUUAGAUCAAUGCAUGUUGGGAGACAUAGCUAUUAUGGGAAAGUUGAAGAAUCUAGAAAUCCUUAGCAUUAACAAUUCUGACAUUGUACAGUUGCCCGAAGCACUAGGUCAACUGACUAAGCUAAGGCUGUUAGAUUUGACAAAUUGUUUCCAACUAAGAGUUAUUGCACCCAAUGUCAUAUCAUGCUUAUCUUGUUCAAAAGAAUUGAAUAUAAGACAUUGCUUUGUUGAAUGGGAUGUUCAAGGUUGUGCUGGCCUAGAUGAGUUGAUGCAUUUGACUCGGCUGGCCAUGCUUGAAAUAGAUGUUAGAAAUGAUAAUACAUUGCCCAAAGGCUUUUUCAGUAGAAAGUUUGAAAAGUUCAAAAUUUCCGUAGGAGAUGUGUCGGGUAUACCUUCGGAGGUUUCCAUAGAAGAUUGGCUUAGAUUCAGUCGGCCAUCUUUUUCAAUCGCCAUUCAUGAGACUUUAAGAAGGUUGAAGCUCAAGCUUAAUUCUACGACCAUUUGCUCGAACAAAUUGCAGGGCAUCAGGAACGUUGAAUAUUUAUGUUUGGACAAGUUGCAAGGUGUCAAGAAUGUUCUUUUUGAAUUGGACACAGAUGGAGUCACUUACUCUUUACAAUUGACUAACUUGGAGAGGAUAUGUAUUGAUCCACUGAAAGUAGAGUCUUUCAAUGAACUAGAAACCAUAAAAGUGGAAUAUUGUGUUGAGUUGAGUAAUAUCUUCUUGCUCUCUGCUACAAACUGCCUUCCAAGAGCUGAGAGGAUUGCAGUUAUUGAUUGCAGCAAUGUGGAAGAGAUUUUUGCAAUUGGUGGAGAAGCUGAUGUCGACAACAAUAAUGCAAUGGAGGAGAUAGAGUUCGAUGAAUUAAGGUCUUUGAGUCUGGGAAAUCUUCCAAAGCUUACAAGUUUUUGCUGUGGAGUGAAGCCACCUUCAGCAUCACCAAAUAGACAAGAAUCCAACGAAAUCCGUUUGGAUGCUUCGACACAUUUGUUCAACAAGAAGGUAGGCUAACACAUUUUUUGUUUUAAUUAUUUCUUUAUUAUUUUACUCUACUAUGCAUUCUCAUUUGAUGACAAGGAUAUUUAUGUUGAAAAUAAAUCAUUUAGGGAAAAAGAAAAAGAAGAAAUUAAAAUUCUAACUAAAACUUUGUCUUUAUUAGGUUGUGUUUGUUGAUGUGCUCUUUAAAGUAUAUUUAUUUAUUUAUUUUCUUAUUGAUAAAAUAUUUGAGAUAUUUUUCAAAAAUUCUUAAUUGUAUAAAUAUUUUGAAUAAGAUCUAUUUAAUCAUAUUAUAUAUAUUGAUAUGAUCAUCAUAUGGAUUCACAGAAGAUAUAAAUACAAAUUAUCUUAUAACUAAAUAAAUUAAGUUCGCAAUUGAUAAAUAAAGUUGGCUGCUCUAUUUAUGUUUAGACUGUAGUAAAUUCAUUGAAUGAUUUGCCUUAAUCAUGUAUGAAGUUACUGAUGUAAUUUAACUACAUUGAACUGAAUUCCAUAUGCGAUUUAAUUAACCUUGAAAUAACUAUUAGACUUACUAAAUCUCAUAGACAUUGAUUUUAUUGCAAUCUCAAUCUUGAGUUAAUUAUAAUUUCAUGUUUGUUAUUUUCAUUUCAUUUGAGUUACCACUGGACGCAACAUACAUUUGUAGUCAAGAUUAUCCGAUAUCUUAGUGGAAGUAAUUGUGAGCAGUGAGAUUAUAGAUUAACAAUAUAGAAUUUAUACAAUACAUCUCUUGACGGGUUUUCGGUACUUGAUCAUAGAAUUCUCUACCCAAAGUGUGUCAACAUAAUUAGUAUGUUAAAAAUGAUUAUUAGAUAAAAUCAGUAAGUGUCAAGGAAUAAAAUGUAAUUAAAUUGAUUGGAUAGUUGAAAUAUCGAUUUAAUUAGUGAUGUGGUACAAAAGAUUGUUUAGUAAAGAAAUCAAUGUGGCAUGGGUCGAAUUAUUAUCCGAGAAUACUAUCCUAGAUAACAUGUAGUUAUGGAGGUCAGUUCCAAUCUUUUAGUGGAGUUGGUUUGGAACUAAAUAAUUGAGGUAGUUUAAUUACAAAUCUAAUUAUUGUAGCCACUAUUGUAUGUAUCAUAUUGAUCCAUGGGUUAGCUCAUUUAAUUGAUUGCAUAACUACUAGAUUGAUAAGCAAGAUAACUAAUUAUUUGGGUUAAAAGCCUAAAUAUAUUAUUUAGAAGGAAGCUCAUUUUAAUAUGCUUGUGCAUAAGGGACCUUGUAUUAUUUUUACAAGGUGGGCCCCUAUAACAAGAAUAAGUGUAAUGCCACUUUUGGUUUGUCUGUUUUUUUUUAUUUAAAUCAAAUUUGAUUUAAUAGAAUUAAAAAAAAUGGGAGAAAAAAUAAGGAGUCUAGGUUUCCACCAAAUAGAGAUAUAAAAGAGUUUGUUUUCUCUAAAAGGAGAAAGUAGUCCCAAUAUACAAAUCAGAGAAAAAAGAUUUUUUCUCUCUAACUUUGAGAGAAAAUUUUUUCUCUUGUGAGUUGCUUUUAGUAGAGAUAAAUGCUUAGUAGUGAUAAGUGCGUCAACACGUCUAGUGUAGAUCAAACUUAAGUCAUAACUUGGAAGAUCAUUGGUGGCGGAUCGUGAUCUAACAAAAUUGGUGGUGACAAAUCAUGAUUUAAGAGCCUAGAUUAUAUCAGCGAAAAAGCAAAUGUAUGAUUUCUAAAUUAUGGUAAUUUUAUAUAUUGUGUGAGAAUUGCGAUCCAAAUAUUUCCACUCCAAAAUAUUUUUCAAACCAACAGUGUUGCCCAACUUGGAGGCUUUGGAGCUGUAUCAACUUAAUGUGGAAAAAAUUCGGCACAAUCAACUUCCAGUCACGUUUCCUGGCUUUUAAAGUUUAACACGAUUGAUUGUCUGUCGAUGUCACAAUUUAAAACACAUAUCUUCAGCUUCUGUGAUCAGAAUCUCUUUGAGCAGCUCUAACAUCUGGAGAUACACGAUGGUGUGAGUUUGUAGGAUAUCAUUUCAGAGGAAGGAGCUGAUCAAGUGAACCCUUCUUUUGUCUUCCGGCGUCUGAAACUCUUGAGAUUGCCGUACCUUAGAUGUUUAUACCCUGGAAUGCAUACUUCGGAAUGGCCGUCGCUAAGUACUUUGCAGGUGUGUAGCUGUGACAAACUGAAGGCAUUCGCUUCAGAAUUAUCUAGCUCCAGCAGAAAUAAUGAUGAGAAGAAUAUGUUCCAUAUCCCAGUGCUACAGCCCCUGUUCUUGUGCGGAAAGGUAUGAAACUAUUUUGUUAAGCGUUUUUAUCAGUUCCUUCUUGUUUCUUAAAAUAACUCAAAGUAGAAUUUGUAACGCCUUCAAAAAUUUUCUUUAUUAAUAAUUAUGGUAAUUCUUGGCUAGAUAAUAAGAAAUGUUAUUUCUUUUUAUUGGUUUACUAAAGGAUUUGAGAAUGAUACUAUGCUUUUUUAAUUUACUAGAAUUACUUAGAAUUUUUUAAUAUUACAUUUAUUAAUUUCACAAGACAUGUGUACUUACAUUAUUACUUACAUUUGUUAUGCAUUUAUUAUUUAUAUUUUUCAGCUUGCAUUUAUUUAAAGGUGUAAUUAUGAACAUUCAUAAUUAUAUUUAUUUAAGCUUUUUUCAUGGCUUUAUUAAAGUUUCUUUAUUAAAAUUUACUUUAUAUGAUUACACUUAUUAAAAUUUAUUUUAUAUUUAUUAUUAUUUUAUUAAUGUUUCUUUAAUAAAGCUUACUUUAAUUUGUUAUUACCUUGGUAUUUAUGAUUAUACUUAUUAAAGUUUACUUUAUAUUUAUUGUUGUUUUAUUAAAGUUGCUUUAUUAAAGUUUGCUUUACAUGUAUAUUUACAUUUAUUAUUUGCUUACUUUGUGUUUGUUAAUUCUUGAUUGAAAACCGGGACUUGAAAGAAGGAAACAUAGAAUUAUUUAACUUCUUUCAUUAUUCAUCUUCUUGAUAGUUUCAAGUUAAGCACGUAUUCACAACAAUAAAAACAUAAGUAAUAAAGACUCACCAAAUCAAGAAACUUCCAAAUUAACUAAGAUUUCUAACUCUAUUGAAGAACUAUAGAAGGUUGCUAUGAGAGAUCUAGAAUUUAGAUCUUGGUGUCGAGCUAGAGAGAAACUAUUUGUUUCUUGAUAGACUCAAAACUGCCUCACAAUGCCUUAAUUGAACAAUAUUGGUCCCGAGAUUUUUAUGAAAUUAUAUAUUAAUAAGAAAAUUAUGAAAUUAAAACUAGAAAUACUACAGAUAUAUUAACUCCUAUUUAAAAAAUCAAAAAUUUUGGAGUUCAUUUUACCGUAUAAAUAAUGUUGUGAAUUUGGUCAUUCUGCUGGAACAACAGUUUUCCAAUACAACAAUAUUGGAUGCGAAAUUCUAUAUAAAAUCAAAAAUAAAGUCAAAUCUUACGAAAUAAAUUUUUUUAAUAAGCCCUGCAUGUCUAGUUUACAAAAAGACAUGAUUAUUAUCAAAAUCAUUUUAAAUGGCCGUGAUUUUAAUGCAAAAUAUUCAUGUUGUCCAGAGAAUUCCAUAACAUGUUUCAUACAAUUAGAAUUUCAAGUUAAGCAUGUAUUCACAACAAUAAAAACAUAAGCAAUAGAGACUCACUAAAUCAAGAAGCUUCCAAAUUAACUAAGAUCUCUAAUUCUAUUGAAGAACUGGAGAAAGUUGAUAUGAGAGAUCUAGAAUUUAGAUCUUGGUGUUGAUAGAGAAAGAAGUUGAAUAAUGAAAGAAGUUGAAUAAUUCUAUGUUUUCUUAUUUCAAGUCCCGGUUUUCAAUCAAGAAUUAACAAAAACAAAGCAAGCAAAUAAUAAAUGUAAAUAUACAUGUAAAGCAAACUUUAACAAAGUAACUUUAAUAAAACAACAAUAUAUAUAAAGUAAACUUUAAUAAGUGUAAUAAUAAAUUAAAAUAAGUUUUGUUAAAGUUAUAAAGUAAAUUUUAAUAAGUGUAAUUAUAUAUACAAAGUAAACUUUGAUAAAUUAAAGUAAACUUUAAUAAAGAAACUUUAAUAAAACAAAAAGCUUAAAUAAAUGUAAUUAUGAAUGUUCAUGCAUCUUUAAAUAAAUACAAGCUUUUAUAAAAAAAUAUAAAUAAUAAAUGCAUAACAAAUAUAAGUAAUAAUGUAAGUACACAUGUCUUGUGUAAUGUAAUACUAGAAAAUUUUAAGUAAUUUUAAUAAAUUAAAAAAGUCUAGAAUCAUUCUCUAAAAUCCUUUAAUAAACCUAUAAAAUAAAAUAUAAUUUCUUAUCAUCUAUUUAAGAAUUACCUGGAAAAAGACAUCCAGGUGAUUUUCCAGGGCGAUUUCCCACGACACCUCUUUGGCAGACUUAGACGACUGGAGGUUGUGCGUGAUGACGUGGCAGCUGGUUUUCCAGUUGGUUUACUU
rnacentral:lncRNA from 1 species